AGCGUAGGCGGACUUUUAAGUGAGAUGUGAAAUACCCGGGCUCAACUUGGGUGCUGCAUUUCAAACUGGAAGUCUAGAGUGCAGGAGAGGAGAAGGGAAUUCCUAGUGUAGCGGUGAAAUGCGUAGAGAUUAGGAAGAACACCAGUGGCGAAGGCGCUUCUCUGGACUGUAACUGACGCUGAGGCUCGAAAGCGGUGGGGAGCAAACA
rnacentral:rRNA from 1 species